rnacentral:rRNA from 1 species
UACGUAGGUGGCAAGCGUUGUCCGGAUUUACUGGGCGUAAAGAGCGCGCAGGCGGUCGGAUCAGUCGAAUGUGAAAGCCCCCGGCUCAACUGGGGAGGGUCAUUCGAUACUGUCCGACUCGAAGGCAGGAGAGGGAAGCGGAAUUCCCGGUGUAGUGGUGAAAUGCGUAGAUAUCGGGAGGAACACCAGUGGCGAAGGCGGCUUUCUGGCCUGUUCUUGACGCUGAGGCGCGAAAGCGUGGGGAGCGAACAGG